GGACUACUGGGGUAUCUAAUCCUGUUUGCUCCCCACGCUUUCGUGUCUCAGUGUCAGUGUCUGUCCAGAUAGUCGCCUUCGCCACUGGUGUUCCUUCCAAUAUCUACGCAUUUCACCGCUACACUGGAAAUUCCACUAUCCUCUACAGCACUCUAGCUAUACAGUCUUAAACGCAGUUCCCAGGUUAAGCCCGGGGAUUUCACAUCUAACUUAUAUAACCACCUACACACCCUUUACGCCCAGUAAUUCCGAUUAACGCUCGCACCCUCUGUAUUACCGCGGCGGCUGGCAC
rnacentral:rRNA from 2 species